UGAGUUGAGUAGAUGAUCGCGUCCCGAAUGUAGCUUACAAUCGGGAUGAGGAAAGUCCGGACUCCGCAGGGCAGGAUGCUGGGUAACCCCCAGGAGCGGCAACGCUAUGGAAAGUGCAACAGAGAGUAGACUACAACGCCUCAAAGCGUUGUACAGGUGAAACGGUGCGGUAAAAGCGCACCAGUCCAUAAGGUGACUUAUGGAGCUUGGUAAACCCCAUCUGGAGCAAGGUAAAUGGCGGAAUAUAAGGUGUGCUCGCCUUUUCCCCAGGUAACCGCUUGAGGUGGAUGGUAACAUCCAUCCCAGAUGAAUGAUCAUCGCAUACAGAAUCCGGCUUAUUCUCAACUCAAGCU
rnacentral:RNase_P_RNA from 1 species